CCUACGGGAGGCAGCAGUAGGGAAUUUUCCACAAUGGGCGCAAGUCUGAUGGAGCAACGCCGCGUGGGUGAAGACGGCCUUCGGAGCGUAAAACUCUGUUGUUAGAGAAGUAAGUGCGUGAGAGUAACUGUUCACGUUUCGACGGUAUCUAACCAGAAAGCCACGGCUAACUACGUGCCAGCAGCCGCGGUAAUACGUAGGUGGCAGGCGUUAUCCGGAUUUAUUGGGCGUAAGGGGAACGCAGGCGGUCUUUUAAGUCUGAUGUGAAAGCCUUCGGCUUAACCGGAGUAGUGCAUUGGAAACUGGGGGACUUGAGUGCAGAAGAGGAUAGUGGAACUCAAGGUGUAGCGGUGAAAUGCGUAGAUAUAAGGAAGAACACCAGUGGCGAAAGCGGCUCUCUGGUCUGUAACUGACGCUGAGGUUCGAAAGCGUGGGUAGCAAACAGGAUUAGAUACCCUUGUAGUC
rnacentral:rRNA from 1 species